rnacentral:lncRNA from 1 species
UAGUUUUCACUAGAUGGCAGGUUAAUACCUAGUUCUCCUUUUUUAAAAGACAGAAUUGAAGGGAACUGAUUAGGUUUGCUGGGUUUUUAACCUAAUUCAAAAGCAUGGCAGAAUGCUCUAGAUAGGAAUUAUGGGAAUCCAAGGUAAAGAAACCUUUUUCUUACGAUUUGUAGCUACCUACUGUGCCUGACUUGGUGCCUGUG